CAAAACAAAACCUAGAAUUGUUGCCUAAAUUCUCUAAACAAUAGUCUAAACCAGGGGUUUUCAAAGUGUGAGAGAGUGAGCCCCCCCUCAGAGAAAAAAAUUCAGCUGAGCCCCCCCCCCAAUUUUUUUUUCUAAAUACCUGUGUUUUGAAAGCUAUUUUAAUUAUUUUACACAUUUCAAACAUCUCCGAUCAUAAUUUUAAAACAUUUGUAACAUAUUUUUGAAACAUUUGAAACAAAUUUUUAACAUAUUUUUUAAACAUAUUUCUGAAACAUUACAACAUCUUUUUGGUUUUUAAACAACACAAUUUAACAACUUUAUCUAAGCAUGUUUUAGCUUAACCUUUUUUAAAUACAUUUGAACAUCUUAAUCUGUGUAAACUGCCAGUUUACCGAAUCAUUCAGGGUCCCCGACUCUGAAUUUUCUGAGUCGAAUCAGAUCUGCCUUUUCAGUCCAGAGAUUCGACUAUUCGGCGGGGUUUGUUUACCGGCGUUGCUAUGGUGACCUAAAUUAUUAUAGAGGGUUUUCACGGCGCGUCAUCAGCGCGUCAUCAAUCCGGCAGUCGCCAUGUUGGAGGUACUCGGCAAGGUAAAUAAACCGCACGCCAAGUUGUCAGAGGAAAGGAGGCGCUUGUGGUUAGCGAAGCUGAACCAGGAUCUACGUGGCAAAAAUCUGGACAACGUCCGAAUUUGUUCGGCCCAUUUCUUGUCAGGUACAAGGUCUGACCUUUAUCAAAAGGAUGACCCAGAUUGGGUGCCAUCUGUCGGAAUGACAGGUCAGCAAAGGUCUCCUGAAAAAGCUGGGACAUCAUCACGCUACAGCCGUCGUGGGAAUAGAACCCAGCAGAGACUGAGAGAAGCUGCUGCUGAUGCUGCUGCUGGUGCUGGAGUUGCUGCAGAGACUGAUGAUUCUGAGACUGAUGACCCUACUACAAGUGGUUAUAUCAGCAGCAAUUUGUGCAGCACAGAGACUCAAAGUGAAUUGACUGGUGAUUUAAUUGAGGCUAUGACCAGCAAACUUCAAAAUCUUAGAACUGAAAACAUCCAGUUGUGCUCUGAUGUUGCACAUUUGUCCACUACCUAUGACCAAAGUGCAUUUGUUGAUAAUGAUGAAAAGGUUUUAUUUUUCACUGGCCUACCUACAUACCUGGGGUCUCAUUUAUAAAACUGUGCGUGGGAUCGUUACUAAUAUGUGCGUACGCCUAGAAGCCAAGUUUUGCGUGCGCCAAAAAAUAUUCGGAUUUAUAAAACACUGCGUACGCACACCUGUACGCAAUCUUUGCUUUAUAAAUCACAUACUGACUAUAAUUGUGCGCAGCUGAAUCAGCUUCACGUUCCGCCCUCUACACGCCCCUUUUUAACCAUAAAUGGUCAAUGCAAAUGACCUCAUGAAUGCGAUCUGCAUAUAAAACAGACUCAGAUGCCGGUAUUAUGUCUUGUUGGAAACAAUGGCAGAAGUACUGAGAAAAUCAAAGCGAAAUUUCACGGAGGUUGAAGUGGAGACACUUGUGGGUGAGAUGGAGGCCCGAAAGGUAGUUUUGUUCGGCGGUCACGGGAUUGGAAUCGCCAACAACAAAAAGCAGAGUGAGUGGCAACAUGUUGCUGCAGCAGUGAACUCUGUCAGUAGCACGGAGCGCACAGUCCCAGAAUUAAAAAAGAAGUGGUCUGACAUAGAGUUACAUAUUUUUAUGUAGCCUACCAAUAAAUCGUUAUGGUCCCUAAAUACCCUCUCCCUCCGAAUCCUGCAUGGUCCGCCAGAAGUGCCACAUGGUGCAGCAUUACCACGGCGCUCACCUCUGUAUUUAUAGGGUUACGGUAAUAAGACUGACGAUAACGCCUUGGAUAAUCAGUUUGUAAUUACCCACGUAAAAGGUUCUUGAACAUAACCCCUUUUUAAUGCCUGAUUAGUCAUGAAAAGCAUCAAGAGUAACGGACAACGAUUGUGAUGAGUGUGGCUUGGUUUUUCACACUUGGGAUUUAAUUGACAUUUGAUCAUGUGUUUACAGUGUCACAUAAAAAUAUUAUGUUAUUGACACAUGUUGGACAGAUGCUUUAUUCCAUGCAGUCGCGCCGUCAGUGGACAGUAUGGAGUGACGGGAUUAAAUAUAGAGAAUUUCUUUUUAUUUUUAUUCUAAGGAGAUAUUUCUGGAGUUAUAACUGAGAAAUAACGCAGUGGACUUAAAUUAUACUGAUUAGGAUUUAACGCAUGAUACGGGUUGAAAUUAAAUUGAUGAAGGGCGAUGAUAAAACAUAAUCGUUCUUCUCACUCUGCAAUUCUUUGGUCUGACUUCAGUUCACCACCACACCAUCUGUGUCGCCAAUUCUCCUUUUCCUCCAAACCAUGCGUACGCAUGGGUCAGAGUUUGCUUAGGGCUGCGCACAUUUUCCCGUCAAGUUGGUUUUUUAUAGAUCACAACCUUGGCGUGAAAAGUCACGUACGCCAAUUUCAGCCCCGUUUUGUGCGUACGCAACGGUUAUAAAUGAGACCCCACAUACUGUUGGUACUCUUCACAUUCCUUAGUCCCCACCUCCCUGUGAAGAAGUCACUUGAUAAGUUUAAGCAGUUGAUGCUGACACUGAUGCGCCUUAGGCUUAAUGUUUCCACGACCUUCCUGUCAUAUGCAUUUAACAUAUCAAUAGCAACUGCUUCUAGGAUAGUCAAUGAUGUCAUUGAUGUCAUGUUUAUUCGUAUGAAACCACUUAUCAUAUGGCCAGAAAGAGAGCAUUUACAAAAAACUAUGCCAA
ensembl:lncRNA